GAUGAACGCUGGCGGCGUGCCUAAUACAUGCCAGUCGAGCGAACAGACGAGGAGCUUGCUCCUCUGACGUUAGCGGCGGACGGGUGAGUAACACGUGGAUAACCUACCUAUAAGACUGGGAUAACUUCGGGAAACCGGAGCUAAUACCGGAUAACAUGUUGAACCGCAUGGUUCAACAGUGAAAGACGGUCUUGCUGUCACUUAUAGAUGGAUCCGCGCCGCAUUAGCUAGUUGGUAAGGUAACGGCUUACCAAGGCAACGAUGCGUAGCCGACCUGAGAGGGUGAUCGGCCACACUGGAACUGAGACACGGUCCAGACUCCUACGGGAGGCAGCAGUAGGGAAUCUUCCGCAAUGGGCGAAAGCCUGACGGAGCAACGCCGCGUGAGUGAAGAAGGUCUUCGGAUCGUAAAACUCUGUUAUUAGGGAAGAACAAAUGUGUAAGUAACUAUGCACGUCUGGACGGUACCUAAUCAGAAAGCCACGGCUAACUACGU
rnacentral:rRNA from 1 species